rnacentral:lncRNA from 10 species
UGUCCUCUUUGUUUCAAAGUUAAACUAUGAGUAAGUUCCUCUCAAAGUUAGUUUGGCCUACACCCAAGAAUGAACAAGGACAGGUUAGACUCUAAUCUAGAAAUCUAGAAGCAAGAUGGAGUUGGUUAGGGCAGAUUUUUUUUUUUUUUUGAGACAUAGUUUCGCUCUGUCAUCCAGGCUGGAGUGCAGCGGCGCGAACUCUGGCUCACUGCAAGCCCCGCCUCCCAGGUUCGCGCCAUUUUCCUGCCUCAGCCUCCUGAGUAGCUGGGUCUACAGGCGCCCGCCAUCACGCCCGGCUAAUUUUUUGUGCUUUUAAUAGAGAUGGGGUUUCACCGUGUUAGCCAGGAUGGUCUUGAUCUCCUGACCUCAUGAUCCGCCCUCCUCGGCCUCCCAAAGUGCUGGGAUUACAGGUGUGAGUCACCGCGCUCGGCCAGGGCAAAUCUCUUUAACUAUUAUAAUUUUCUCAGUUAUAAUCUUGCCAUGGUGGUUUCAAAAGGUGACUGGAAGAAAGCGGAAGGAAUGCUUGCCUCAUCUUGCAGACAUCAGGUGCAUUCCUGAGAAGCUACAGGUGCACAACCUUAGUCAGGCUCUGGGGAUACAGAAGUAACAAGAAGACCAGACCCUUGUUCCAAUGGAGGAGACAUCCUGGGACAUUGUCUAAAAACCAACCUGCUCCAAAUCUUAUCUCAGGCUCUGCUUUCAAAAGAACUCAAACCAGUUGGAAGUACCCCAAAGGAAUAUCUAUCUACCCAUCUGUCCUGCCACAAAACAGAUCAUUCUCAACAGCAGUGGAAAUAGAAUCAGCUCCAUUGCCUGGGAAUCAUUCUUGUCAGGAGUGCUUUCGUUCUAACCUAGGUAAAGAUACAAGAUGAAUAAUGAAAUCUACUUGGUUUCAAUGAGGUUGUCACUGGAAAUGUGACGUGGAACUCUCUACCUUCUGACAGCCUGUACUAGUGCUGGACAGCUCUAAUUUUUGGCAAUCUCAUUCUUCUAUUGAUCUGAAGUCUGUCUCCCUUCUAUAUCAG